rnacentral:rRNA from 1 species
UACGGAAGGUGCGAGCGUUAUCGAUUACUGGCGUAAGCGCACGUAGGCGGUUACUUAAGUCGGAUGUGAAAGCCCUGGGCUUAACCUGGGAAUUGCAUCCGAUACUGGGUGACUAGAGUACGGUAGAGGGUAGUGGAAUUUCCUGUGUAGCGGUGAAAUGCGUAGAUAUAGGAAGGAACACCAGUGGCGAAGGCGACCACCUGGACUGAUACUGACACUGAGGUGCGAAAGCGUGGGGAGCAAACAGGAUUAGAAACCCUAGUAGU